rnacentral:rRNA from 1 species
UGUUGUCUCCAGAUUUUUUAAUGAUCGCCCAAUCUCAUCUGAUCUCGGAAGUUAAGCAGGGUCGGGCCUGGUUAGUACUUGGAUGGGGGACCAC